UCUUAUUAUAUCUUAUUAUUAAAUAAGAAAAAUGUAAUUCAUUAUAUCUUUUGAUACAGUAUUGAUUACUGUUUGUAAUAGAUAAAAGUAUUGGAAGCGAAUGUUGAACUUCUGAGAACUUUUAAUCUGAUUGAUAAGAUAAUGAAUUAAGUCUUGGAUAAACGAAUGGAAUGAACAUCCGCUAAUUCUUUGACAAUAGGAAUAUAAAGAUAUAUACAUCAAUGAAAACAAGGAUCACGUUUCGUAGAUACUUUAUGGACAUCUUAUAAAAUACAUCAUCUAUCAAAUAAUUUGGGAAAUCUUAGAACGAGUAUAAGGAACUUGAAGAAAUUAUUUGAAAGAGAUUCUUCUACAUGAAAAAUAAGACAUCUAAUUUUUAUUCAUAAAAUUUAAUCAAACCAUUUGAUUUUGGAUAAAAUCGAAUCUCAAUUCUGGUUCAAUAACUUACAUAUCUAUUCAAAUUAUCAAAAAAUUAUAAUCUUUUCUGUUAAAAACCCUCCAAACGAAGAAGAAUGAUCCAAUCACAUAAUAUAAUAUAAAUCAAUAAUUAUUCUGUUUCACGCAAAUUUAUAUUGCCAAAGAGGAAACUCUGACUAAUCAGAGGAAACAAUCAUUAAAAGAGAAAUUACCAUAUAAAUAUUCAAAGUGACUCAUAAGCAUUCUUCGAGUGUGUCACGUUUCACCGUUUCUUCCACCUCCGCCUAUGAAAUACCAAAGGGAUUUCGCAGGUUAACGAGAUCAUAAUAAUCUGCACAGCGGAAUCGAAUACAUUGACCUGAAAAUUAUCGAUGGAUCGUGCAUGGAAACCGUGAAUACGUGCGAAUACGAAGAGAUUCUCGGCAGGAGGAAAGAGAAAAAGAAGGGAUCCAAGAAAGGCACGGCAGGGUACAGGUGCCGCGCCCUGUUGAACCUCCAGUUCGACUUCUCACAGUCGAUUAUGUAUUCAUGAGUGUUUGAGAAGAAAGAAAAAGGAAAAGAAACAUAGUAGUCUCGUUCGAUGCAAAAGAGAUUCCUUUUUAGGCAAAGAUAUAGAUAAAAGCUACACGAAGUUUGCACUGAAGAGAUGCAACACGGAUGAGAAUAGAAUUAUUCUAAUCUAAUUUAAUCUAAUGUUCUAAUCUAAAAAAUUAAAAAAAUUAAUAACACAAAAAAUACAGAAAGAUAUUACAGAAAAAAUCAUUAUAAAAAGAAUUCAUUUAUAUCAUUUAUUGAGUUUAUUAAAUAAUUUUAUAUAUCUUCUAUUUUUUUUUUCUUUUUUUAGUAGAAUUCUUAAAUUUUUUUUAAAUUUGUUUCAUGAGAUUUACGUAUAAGAAAUCUACAUUAUAACUGGACACGCAUUGUUCAAGUAAUAUUCUCACGAUUCGAAUGUAUUCUCAUGAUAGCUAUAUACCGGAUAAAUAUAAUCCGCAUCAAGACACUCGUCUAGCCUGUCCUAUUCUAGCCUAGCUCAGGCAUCCGCGGAUUACAAGAGACUUCCGGUCUACUCUUUCUGAUGGUCAUUGUUGCACCGGGCAGAGAGUGUGACGACCUCGACAGCCUCGAUCCGCUUUUUCCAAAGCGUCUUCUCUUCUCUGUAAGAUGGAUCUCUAUAUCUACAUGGAAUUACUCUUUUCGAGAUUCGAUUUAAAAAUACGAAUGAUGAAAUCAUCGAGAUAUCAAGAAUUUUCCAAUCUUUUUUAAAUUGUGAUUUCUUUUUGCAACAUUUAAAUAGCUUGCAACUAUAUAAGGCCAAUAAAACUCGAUUGCAAUUGCGAAUUAAGUAAUAAUUGAGCAAUAAUUGAGAAAUUGGAAGAAAUAUAAUCUUUUCAACGAAUAUCAUGUAUGAAAGCAUCACGCAUUCAAAAAUUGUCAAAGGAAGAUUGCAAGUACGCGCCACUUAUGUUCGUAAUGCAUCCCGUGCGUAAGUUCGCAUGCAUAUAUGCUUGUGCAUUGUCCAGAAUCGUGAGCCAUGAAAACCAGUCUCUCACCAUAGCUCGUGCCGAACUUUCAGUGUUCAUGUUGCGUGUACAUGUGUCAUUAAAGUGGAAACACGAAAUAAACACGGAUACUUGAACAGGAAGGAUCAUGCAACUGGGACAAAUCAUUCUUUUUUUUUAUAUUAUUAACAGUUCUCCAAGUAAUCACGUAACAGUAUAUUCUUUUCUUGCUAAUCUACUUUUCAAACUAAUAAAAAUCGAUUAUCUAUAUUAUUCAGACAUUUAUAGAAAUUUUUGUAAAUUUUCAGAUUUAAUUAAUUAAUUUCUGUAUUAUAGAACUUUUUAUAUUUGCGAGAAAUUCUUCAAAAACUAAAUUCUCAUGGUAGAAUAAAAAGUUCCAAAGAGUUACUUGUUGUUAUUCUCAUUAAAACUAAAUGCGUGUAUUUCAAAAUAUACAAAUUUGCAUAUUAUUCACGAAAUAGAAAAAGAAUUACAGACAAACAAUAAUACUCAAGUUAAGUAAUAAGUGGUUGAACUCUCUUAUAUAAGAAAUUGUUCAAGAUACAACAAAGAUAUUUGCGUGUUCCAUAAGAAUGGCCUAGCUCGCAAAAAAACUCCCCCAAAGAAUUCCUCGAUAGAAAUUGCAAGCUGCUGCGAAAGCGGCUUCUACUUUGUCGGAACUCGAACGAUAAAAAAGGGAAGAAAAGAAGAAGGGAGGUAAGAAAGGAAGAAAGGAAGGAAGGAAGAGGAAACUUUGUCUGGCUUCUAAUAAUAAAAGGCGCGUGUACGAUAUGUAAUGGAUGUAAAAGGAGUAAAAAAAUUCCACGAUAAUUCCCGAUGGAAUGAAACAUCUGCCCUCAACUUCCACCACCUACUUCCGAAUCCUUCGCCAUUCUUGCGCACCCUCGUCACCACACACCGUGGAUAUUCAAUCCUUCCGAUGAACGAAAGGGGAAAGCAAAGGUUUCUAUCGAUUCGUUGAGGGGUUGGUUCCGGUCUCAGUAGGGUGAUUUACAGAAUUCUCAUGGUACGAAUUGAAGGCACCAAAAAAAUUCAAAAGCAUAGGUAAAUUCUAACUGCGGAAGAGGAAACAAGAAACUCGGGAUCUCAAUCUUCGAAGGGGUGGCGUGCCACGACAAAUCGAUUUCUUCACUGCGGAUAAAAAACGCGGAUAACUCGAGAGAAUCGUUGCGGUCAGUGAGGAAUGUCUGCGAGCAUAUCUCUCGUGCCCCUUUUUCCUCCACAUCUCUAGUUAUUUUCCGAAUGAUCGAACAUUUGCCUGGCAAAACGGAACGGAACGAACUGUGGGAAACGGUGUAGCGGGCUUCGUAUCCGACGCGAAAUAUCGAAGCCAUUGAAGAGACAAAGGGAACCAAAGCCGUGCACCGGCGAUACAAUGAGCCGAUCUUUGGAAAUCGAGAGGUGGUUUCGAACCAGUUAUCUUACAAUAACGUGUCUUUUUUUUGUUUUCUUUUAUUCGGGAUCGGAUAUGCGGAUCCGGCAUGUGAUUCCACCCGAUUAAAGUCAACCCUUCCUGGUAACUCUAGUUUUUUAAUCCAGAAUCUCAUAAGAUUUUUGGAUUUUUGCAUAUUUUAUUUAAUUGUUGUAAAUUUUAACUUAAGAUUAUUUGUUUUAUUAAAAUUUAUAUGUCGAUGUUUAAAUUUUACUAAAACGUUAAGUAAAAGUUAUAGAACUUGUAUAUCAUUAUUCAAUAAUCCUAAAAUUGUUUUGUAUCAUUAAAUAUAUGAAGCUUUUGGAAGUGGAAAAUCUCAGAUAAUAGAAAUUUUUAAUCAAAAUAUCAAAUAACGAGAAAUAUUCAAAGAGUUGAAACUUUAAUUCAGCAGAAUGAGAAAUUUUCUUUGUCUUUUAAGCAAAAUCUUAUGAAUUAUGUAAACAGAGGGAUGGAAUUUCUCUCAUAAUUGUGUAAUUAAUAAGUUGAUUCAAUGGAAUUAGAUUAUUAAUAUUAAAAAUUGAUUGACUUAUUAUCACUUGUAUUUGAGAAAGAAAAUUUAUAUAAAUUAAGCAAAUCAAAUUUAAUUAGAAGGAGAAUCGAAUAUAAUUAAUCGAUAAUUGUGUGAAAUAAAUAAAUAUUCAUCAAAAAUGGAGAAAAAUAAAAUUCGUGCAAAAGAUGAAUUUGAUUUCAUGUAAUUAACCAGAAUUAUCGAAAGAUCAUUGAACAGAAAAAUCAUUCAUUGGAACAAUAUAAGCGGAAUUUGAAGUAGGAAUCAGAACGAAACGAAGCUCUUCGACGAAUAGUAUUAACUUCAUCGUCGUUGGUAUCUAGCUUGAAAGACACAUUUGCAUAUCAAUUAUAUUCUGCCUACACACCGUGCAAUAUUAUACUUCGAUAGUUCGCAGACAAUCUCGCCUCGAAUAUUAUCCCUCGGGCAACCACCUACAAUGUUUUCCCAUUGUAAAAUGUAAAAUAUUUUCUUGUUCCACCAUUUUUUCGAUUUCCUUUGAUGUUUCGAUCCGCGAUUACAUUAUUCAUUCCGGAUCCGCAUUACACUUUCAGAAUAUAAAGGAGAAUGAAAAAGAAUUUCAGGGAAUCUUUAAGAAAUUUUCCAAUCCAAUUUUUUAUUUUUCCACAGAUUUUAU
rnacentral:lncRNA from 1 species